GUCAAUAGUGGGUGAACUCCCAAUAGUAGCAUGACACCUAGGGGUAGAAAAGGACAGGCAUCACCACUGCAUAGCUAGGGUAAUCCCAGAUGGAACGGUAGUAUGUCAACAGUUGUGUACACAGGCGCAUACAUAUGUAUAUAUAUAUUUAUAAGGAGACUGGGGUCCACCCAGUAGUAUUCCCCUAGGCCUGCAGCCAAUGGAGGGUGACUUGGGCAUAGGCAAAGCCGGCCAAUCAAU